rnacentral:rRNA from 1 species
GACGAACGCUGGCGGCGUGCUUAACACAUGCAAGUCGAACGGAAAGGCCCUGCUUUUGUGGGGUGCUCGAGUGGCGAACGGGUGAGUAACACGUGAGUAACCUGCCCUUGACUUUGGGAUAACUUCAGGAAACUGGGGCUAAUACCGGAUAGGAGCUCCUGCUGCAUGGUGGGGGUUGGAAAGUUUCGGCGGUUGGGGAUGGACUCGCGGCUUAUCAGCUUGUUGGUGGGGUAGUGGCUUACCAAGGCUUUGACGGGUAGCCGGCCUGAGAGGGUGACCGGCAACAUUGGGACUGAGAUACGGCCCAGACUCCUACGGGAGGCAGCAGGGGGGAAUAUUGCACAAUGGGCGGAAGCCUGAUGCAGCAACGCCGCGUGCGGGAUGACGGCCUUCGGGUUGUAAACCGCUUUCGCCUGUGACGAAGCGUGAGUGACGGUAAUGGGUAAAGAAGCACCGGCUAACUACGUG